GCCAGGUUCCCGGGAUCCAGGGACAACUUCCCCGGGAGUACGCACGGCGGGUCUCAGGCUGGUGCAACAUCACGCCGGCCUCUGCCGCAACGUCACGCUGCCUCUGCAGCCGCAGGCCCGCCCCGCACGUAGUGCCCCUCCUACCCCCAUCCCCCAACCCCCGGCCUGAGUGAGCCGGAGGCCCCGAAUCAGCGGCUCCUUUAACCCCGUCCUGUCUGAGCGAAAAAACAGACGCCCUCCAGCGACCUACACGCAGAGACAGGGCCAAAUCCAAAGCUGAGCUCCUGUGAGCUGUGAGAACAAAGAAGAGAAAGGGAAAUCUCUCCCAGCAGCCACAGAAGCAGCGGAUUAAAGCUCCACAAUCAACUUGAUAUACCCUGCAUCUGUGGAAUACCUGAAUAGACAAGGAAUGAUCCCAAAUUGAAGAGGUGGAAUUUAGGAGCGAGAUCUAUGAUUUUUUUCCCUUUUCCUCUUUUUGUGAAUGUGUACGUGUAUGCUUCUGUGUGAGAUCCUGUCUGUAUACUCUUGCUUCCACCAUUUGUCCUAGGGCUCUAUCCGUCCAUGACUUUUUUUUAAAAAUUCUUUUUCUUAAUAAUUAAGUUUAAUUGUAAUAACUUUAUUAUACUUUACCUUCGUUCUUUCUUUCCUUCCUUCCUUCCCUCCUUUAGACAACGAAUCACCCCAAAUUGAGGAGGUGGUCUCAGGGAGCAGGAUUUAUGAUUUUUCCCCCUUUACCUCUUUUUGUGAAGGUGUAUGUGUAUGCUUCUGUGUAAGAUUUUUUCUGUAUAGCUUUGCUUCCAACAUUUGUCCUAAGGUUCUAUCCGUCCCUUUUUUUUUUUUUUUUUCUAAAUAUUUUUUAAUUCAAUAACUAUAUUAUACUUUAUUUUAUUUUUACUGUAUCAUCUUUCUUUCUGUCUUUUUUCCUUCUUUCCCUCCUUCCUUCCUUCCUCCCUCCCUCCCUCCCUCCCUCCUUUCUUUCCUUCUUUGCUUCUUUCUUCCUUCCUUCCUUUCCUCCUUUUCUUCUUUCUUUACUCAUACUUCUACUAAUUCUCCCUACUUUUUCUCCCUUUUAUUCUGAGCUGUGUGGAUGAAAGGCUCUUGGUGCUCCAGCCAGGAGUCAGGGCUCUGCCUCUGAGGUAGGAGAGCCAACUUCAGGACACUGGUCAACAAGAGACCUCCCAGCUCCACAUAAUAUUAAACGGUGGAAAUAUCCCAGAGACCUCCAUCUUAACACCAGCACCCAGCUUCACUCAACGACCAGCAAGCCACAGUGCUGGACAACCUAUGCCAAACAACUAGCAAAACAGGAACACAACCCCACCCAUUAGCAGAGAGGCUGCCUAAAAUCAUAAUAAGGCCACAGACACCCCAAAACACACCACCAGACGUGAACCUGCCCACUAGAGAGACAAGAUCCAGCCUCAUCCAGCACAACACAGGCACUAGUCCCCUCCACCAGGAAGCCUACACAACCCACUGAAACAACCUUAGCCACUGGAGACAGACAUCAAAAACAACGGGAACUACGAAAGUGCAGCCUGCAAAAAGGAGACCCCAAACACAGUAAGAUAAGCAAAAUGAGAAGACAGAAAAACACACAGCAGAUGAAGGAGCAAGAUAAAAACCCACCAGACCUAACAAAUGAAGAGGAAAUAGGCAAUCUACCUGAAAAAGAAUUCAGAAUAAUGAUAGUAAGGAUGAUCCGAAAUCUUGGAAGUAGAAUGGACAAAAUGCAAGAAACAGUUAACAAGGACCUACAAGAACUAAAGAUGAAACAAGCAACGAUGAACAAUGCAAUAAAUGAAAUUAAAAUCACUCUAGAUAGGAUCAAUAGCAGAAUAACUGAGGCAGAAGAACGGAUAAGUGACCUGGAAGAUAAAGUAGUGGAAAUAACUACUGCAGAGCAG
ensembl:lncRNA